UUCCCCUCCUCACCUCCUCUUUUCCUCGCCUUGGCCCCCGCCCCCACUUCUUCCCCUGGGAUGGGAGUGGGGUGAGGUUUGGGGGAGGGAUCCUGCGGGCAGAGAAAGGGAGAGGAAAAAGUUAAGGAAUCCCAAACGGAACUAAAGUUUCUCCUCUCCUGCGUCCUCUUUCGUCGGUCUCGGCCCUUGGGGCUGGGAGCUCAGCUCGGGACCUCCCGUCACGGAAGUUGGUUGAGUUGCAAGUUCCCCGUGGGGAUUGACGGGGAAUCUCCAGUGUCUGGGGCAGGCCAGGGAGGAGGUCAAGAUGACUUCAGGGCUGCUUGGGAGAGGGGGAUUCCGAGGGGACUGAGGGGUCGCGGGAGGAGGAAGCCGGCAACCAGAGGCACCGGCUCCCCGACCAGGGAGCGCGGCCUGGACCUGGCUGGGUGGGCGGCUCCUGGGUUAUCAACUCAGGGGCAGGAAGGCUUUGGCCUUGGAGCCGGUUCGGCUGCUCUGCUCCAGGCCCUGGCGGCCCUCGCUUUCCAGUUGACCUUGCCCCCACGAAAACAGGGAGCAUUCCCAGAGAGAAAGAGGGAACCCUCGGGGCCUCGGGCGGUUUGGGGGAGUCAUGUAUCAACCGGGAAACCAAGGCAACGGACGCGACAAAAUGCGACCCUGAGAAGUGUCCUUCAACAGAGCGAUUUUUUUAAGAAAGGGAAGCGAGAAAUAAGGGACAAGGAAACGGAAUCUGGAGUAUAACUUGUCUUUCCGGUCGCCCCACAUUUUCCCCUGGACCGAGCCAUGGGUUUCGACUUUCCGAAGGGCUGGAGCCUGGCCGGGAAAAGACCAGAGCUCCAAGACGCCCUGGCGCGGAGGAGUGAGAAGGCUGGAUCGCUUCUAGGGAGGCCCAAGCCCGCGGCUGCUAGAAGACGACUUCGGAAAGAAAUCCUCCGAAAUCUGUCAUCCAGAGGGCGAGAGAAAAGGCGCAGGGGUCCCCGAACCCCGGGAAAACUGGAAGAGAAUGUUUAAUGUGUGACUUGCUGGCAGGGCCAGCCAGGGGAGAUUUGAAAUGCUUUCGUGUUUUCAUUUACAGAGGUCGCCAUGGGCUCGGCACAAGGGGUUGGCCCCGGCAAGGUUAGCCCGUUUAGGCCCCAGAUGAGACUUGGGACGGCCCCGGUGGCAGUCAAUCCAGGGAGCCAUUUGUCCCACCCCGCGGGAAACGCAGACACUUUAUGGCCACUCUGUUUGUAUUAUCUGCGAAAAACGCAAACCCGGAGCUGUUAAACAAGAACCGGAAGACGCCGACUUGAAUAACUUGUUGGGUUUUUGCAAACUUGGGAUUCUGCACCAGUGGAGACGAAAGGAAGGAAGACGUGAGGGUGAGGACGGAGAGAGGGGAGCAUUCGUGCGGAUUUGGGAAAGUACAGUCAGGUGUGGGUCCCAGCCCUGCCCCCUUGGGCUCCGUCUUUCCCGAGGCCACGAGCAAAGGCUGUUUCCGUCCUAUUGUCCGGGCCUGGUGUUCAAAGGCACUCAGGCUGCCACAGCCACCCCACUUGCCGCCUGCCGCCACUGCUGGGCGCCUACCGGCUAAGCCCCACUGGGCCGAGACCCUCAGGCCUGCACCCCAAGGGAACCGGAUUGGGGUCCAGAAGAAGUCUGUGUUGCUAAAAUCACCCUGUUAAGCCAUUUCCCCAACUUUCCAGGAGUGCUGCAUCUAUGCCUGACUCCCCGGGGCUCCCUCUUCUUGCCUCAACUUGGGGGAUGUGAAAAUCCAGGGGCUUCAGGCCAGAUCGGCUCAGGCUGCACCUACCUUUUGACCAACCCCUCUACCCCGAGAGCUCUGGUCCCCGUGCCCUUCUUCCCGGUACCUAGACCCUGGAAC